UACAGAGGGGGCAAGCGUUGUUCGGAAUUACUGGGCGUAAAGGGCGCGUAGGCGGCCUGCUAAGUCGAACGUGAAAUCCCUGGGCUCAACCCAGGAACUGCGUCCGAUACUGGAUGGCUUGAAUUCGGGAGAGGGAUGCAGAAUUCCGAGGUGUAGCGGUGAAAUGCGUAGAUAUCUGGAGGAAUACCGGUGGCGAAGGCGGCAUCCUGGACCGAGAUUGACACUGAAAAGCGAAAGCCAGGGGAGCAAACGGG
rnacentral:rRNA from 1 species